GGGGAUAUAGCUCAGUGAUAGAGUGCUUGCUUAGCAUGUACGACGUCCUGGGUUCAAUCCUCAGUACCUCCA
rnacentral:tRNA from 1 species